UACGGGGGGGGUAAGCGUUGUUCGGAAUUACUGGGCGUAAAGGGCUCGUAGGCGGCCAACUAAGUCGGACGUGAAAUCCCUCAGCUUAACUGGGGAACUGCGUCCGAUACUGGAUGGCUUGGAUUUGGGAGAGGGAUGCGGAAUUCCAGGUGUAGCGGUGAAAUGCGUAGAUAUCUGGAGGAACACCGGUGGCGAAGGCGGCAUCCUGGACCAAUAUUGACGCUGAGGAGCGAAAGCUAGGGGAGCAACGGG
rnacentral:rRNA from 1 species